rnacentral:lncRNA from 1 species
AGCCACUGUGCCUGGCUGAGACUGGGUAAUUUAUAAGAAAAGAAAUUUAAUUGGCUCACGGUUCUGAAGACUGUACAGGAAGCAUAGUGGCAUCUGCUUCUGGGGAGGCCUCAGGAAGCUUCCAAUCAUGGUGGAAGGUGAAUGGGGAGGAGGCGCAUCACAUGGUGAAAUCAAGAGUGAGAGACAGAGUGCCACACACUCUUAAAUGACCAGAUCUCAUGAAAACUCACUCCCUAUCACAAGAACAGCAGCAAGG